GACGAACGCUGGCGGCGUGCUUAACACAUGCCAGUCGAACGGAAAGGCCCUGCUUUUGUGGGGUGCUCGAGUGGCGAACGGGUGAGUAACACGUGAGUAACCUGCCCUUGACUUUGGGAUAACUUCAGGAAACUGGGGCUAAUACCGGAUAGGAGCUCCUGCUGCAUGGUGGGGGUUGGAAAGUUUCGGCGGUUGGGGAUGGACUCGCGGCUUAUCAGCUUGUUGGUGGGGUAGUGGCUUACCAAGGCUUUGACGGGUAGCCGGCCUGAGAGGGUGACCGGCGACAUGGGGACUGAGAUACGGCCCAGACUCCUACGGGAGGCAGCAGUGGGGAAUAUUGCACAAUGGGCGGAAGCCUGAUGCAGCAACGCCGCGUGCGGGAUGACGGCCUUCGGGUUGUAAACCGCUUUCGCCGGUGACGAAGCGUGAGUGACGGUAAUGGGUAAAGAAGCACCGGCUAACUACGUG
rnacentral:rRNA from 1 species